CCUGAGAUCAUGACCUGAGCUGAAGUCAGAAGCCCAACCUACUGAACCACCCAGGGUUAUGUAAAGAAGGACUGAAAAGGCAACUGGAUCUACUCAACAGAAAAUUUAAAAUCACAAAACAAGCAGGUGCACAGAUGAAGGGACCCAGCUGUGUGCCUAUGUGUGGAAUACUCCUGGGUAGCAGGAACAUGUCAGGAGUAGCAAAUGGCAUGGUAUGACCUGAAUCAACAGAGAAGGUAUCAAAGAACAGGUGAAGGACUAAGGAAAUGGAAGAGGUAAAAGGGGGAGAAGAGAGAAGAUGCAGUAGGUUCUCAGCUCACUUCCUGCUUACAUGCCUGGAAAAUUUCAGCUUCCCAAGGCACAGCUUCCCAAACAGGGUGGAUUUCAGGUCUCUGUGAAAGUGUUUCUGAAUCUUCCAAUCAGAGAUGUCUUCUGACUUCUUCGCAAAAUUCUCUGCAUCAAGAAAAUCCUAUGAACCUGGCUACCUUCUGGGAAUGGUAUGGGAAGGGGAAAAUAUAAAAAAUAAAAAUUAAUUAAUAUUUUGGGGGGAAAAAAUCCUUCCACAAAAAGGCUAAAAGAAUAGCUGUGAGAUGUGAACCUUUAUAAAAAAUAAAGGACAUGGUUGUAUCAGGAUUGUAGUCAGCUGUUCAACAGCAUUGACUCAAGAGGCCAGACAACUCUAGUGAUAGGAAACAGGAGGAAAUAAGUACUAGCAGGUGAGCUACUGGGGAUUUGGCAACUAGCAAUAGCUAGACAUGUCAACAAGAAGAGAAGAAGCAUCAGGAAGGCUUAGCAGAAGGUGGAGGGCAUUGGGAGUCAGGUUAGGACACUGGCCUUCAGGAGGACUGCUGGGAUCCAGGUAAGACCACAGCUCUGGAGGGACGGGCAUCAGGUCAGGCAUCACAACAGAGUGUUCAACAAGGAAAAAAACAUGAUAAGGACCUAAUCAGCAGAAAGGGAUUCAAAGGUUAACCAUGUCCAGAAGCAAGGCUGACCUCGUGCUGAGUUGCUGAGUUACUGAGCUACUUGAUUAUGUUUCCAAAAUCCUCUAAUAGGAGAGAGGAAGAUUGGUCCCCAAGCUGGGGGUGGGACUAAACUCCAGCCUACCGCAGAAAUCUGAGUUGCCCAAGGGAUGGAAGAGAAGAGUGAGUCAGGCAAGCUAUUAAACCAGGAUUUUGAUGCACAGUGUUUGAAAAGGACACUGGCAUAAAAAUUAGUUUUCACACACUUCUCUACACAUGGAUACCGUCAACGCUUGACUUUGAGCAUAUUGGCCAAAAUAAAAAUGGCCUGCUUUGUAAAACUCACCAUUUAUACUUCCUCCUCAAAAGCUCAGUUGCCACAAUCCAAGGUAGAGCAUGUCUCAUAUGUUGAAAAAUAUAGUGACAAUAUUGUUCGUAUAAUGACUGUGAGUGAAGUCUUAAGAACGAAUAGCACAUUUUCUGGGAGGAUUAGCAAGCACGUCAUGGAUGAUUGCCAGUUUGUGAGCCAUUAGUCAGGAAACACUUGUGUUAGGGUAACUCUAAGACUUUCAGCUGGGCAACAACCAUAAUUGUUUCAGUGAAAGCAUUUGGAUGCUAUUCAGUGACUUCACAAGCAAACAGAUCCAAUCUCUUUCCACUUUAAUCUGUACCACAUUCUGCAACCACAAAAAGUUUUCUUAAACUAUUAGUUAAAUACAUUCUUCCUCUUGCUUGAAAGCUUCCAGUAGAUCCUUAAUAUGCUUCAUGUCAAGUCCAAAGCCUUCCUGUCAAAGAUCUCCACAACUUGAAAUCACUCCACCAAUUCAGUCUUCUGUCGCUGCUCCCAGCAGUCUUUGCCUUACUCUCUUCUCAGAAAAUGUCAGGCUAAUCAUUCAAAUCUGCUUCUGUUCGUGCUAUUCAAGAAACUGGAGUACACUCCUUCUGUCUUGUUUGGAUAUCCAGCUCCUGCCAUUUUUAAAGAUCAAGCUCUUGUUUCACUUUCUCCAUGAGACCCUUUUCAAGAACUUUCCCCCUCUUUCUACUCUCAGUAUUGCAGAAACAAAUGGUUCAUCUACCUAGCAUCCACUCUCUCUUUCUUUUUCUUUAAUAGAACCCCAAUUUUGUUCUGAGAAGUUCUUUUGGAGCAAGUGAUAAUAUUCUUGCCAGUGAGACAGAAAAGAAUUUCUAGAAAUUGCUUUUGUGAUACAGACAUGGCACCACCUUUUCCUCCUAAGUGCUUCUUGUAUCUUUUUCCUCCUGCUUUAUUGAGAUACAACUGAUAUAUCACAUCGUGUAAGUAAGGUGUACAAUGUGAUGAUUACAUGUAUAUUGCAAAAUGAUUACCCCAACAAGGUUACUUAACACAUCCAUUACCUCACGUAAUUUUUAUUUUUUUUUGUGUGUAGUGAGAACAGAUAAAAUCUACUUUCUUAGCAACUUUCAAGUAUACAAUACAAUAAUCAACCUAUAAUCACCAGGCUGUAAAUCCCCAGAGCUUAUUCAUUUUAUAACUGAAAGUCUGUUUAUUUGAUGAACAUCUCCCCAUUUCCCCAUCCCAGCCACAAAUCCCCAUCCCAGCCACAAAUCCAUUCUCUGUUUCUGUGUGUUUGGCUUUUUUAGAUUCUAUAUGUAAAUGAUAUCAUAUAGUAUAUUUCUUUCUGAUUUAUUUCACUUAAGAUAAUGUCCAAGUUUCAUCGAUGUUGUUGCAAAUGACAGGAUUUACUUCUUUCUCAUGGCUGAAUAAUAUUCCAUUGCAUAUAUACAUGCACAUCACAUUUUCUUUAUUCAUUCAUCUGCUAAUGGAGAGACACUUAGGUUGAUUCCAUGUCUUAGCUAUUGUGAGUAAUGUGUUAAUGUAUAUUGAAGAGCAUAUAUAUCUUCAAGAUAGAUUCUUCUACCCAGGAGUAGAAUUGCUGGAUCAAAUGGUAGUUAUAUUUUUAACUAUUUGAGGAAACUCCAUACUGUUUUCUGUAAUGACUGCACCGAUUUACAUCCCUAUCAACAACAGUGCACUGGAGUUCCCCUUACCUCACACCCUUGCCUAUACUUAUGUCUUUUUCAUAAUAGCCAUCCUGACAUGGGUAAAGUGCUAUCUAAUUGUGGUUUUGAUUUGCAUUUCCCUGAUGAUUAGCGACA